rnacentral:rRNA from 1 species
CCUACGGGAGGCAGCAGUGGGGGAUAUUGGUCAAUGGGGGAAACCCUGAACCAGCAACGCCGCGUGAGGGAAGACGGCCUUCGGGUUGUAAACCUAAGUGAUCAGGGAUGAAACAAAUGACAGUACCUGAAAAGCAAGCUCCGGCUAACUACGUGCCAGCAGCCGCGGUAAUACGUAGGGAGCAAGCGUUGUCCGGAUUUACUGGGUGUAAAGGGUGCGUAGGCGGGAACACAAGUCAGGCGUGAAAUACCGGGGCUCAACUCCGGGGCUGCGCUUGAAACUGUGUUUCUUGAGUGAAGUAGAGGCAUGCGGAAUGCGCGGUGUAGCGGUGAAAUGCAUAGAUAUCGCGCAGAACCCCGAUUGCGAAGGCAGCGUGCCGUGCCGCCACUGACGCUGAGGCACGAAAGCGCGGGGAUCGAACAGGAUUAGAUACCCUUGUAGUC